rnacentral:rRNA from 1 species
UACGAGGGGGGCAAGCGUUGUUCGGAGUUAUUGGGCGUAAAGGGUGCGUAGGCGGUCUGAUAAGUCAUCUGUGAAAUCUAUGGGCUCAACCCAUAGUCUGCAGGCGAAACUGUCGGGCUUGAGUAUGGGAGAGGUGAGUGGAAUUUCCGGUGUAGCGGUGAAAUGCGUAGAUAUCGGAAGGAACACCUGUGGCGAAAGCGGCUCACUGGACCAUUACUGACGCUGAUGCACGAAAGCUAGGGGAGCAAACAGG